UGAGCUGACGCUCGGAAGGUGUCUUGAGAUUAUCAUCCGCUGAGGGUGGAAGCGGCCCCCGCAGACGCUCAGCAGGUGUCUUGAUAUUAUCAUCUGCUGAGGGUGGAGCUGAGGGUGGAAAGGGAGUGAGCUGACGCUCGGAAGGUGUCUUGAGAUUAUCAUCUGCUGAGGGUGGAAGCGGCCCCCGCAGACGCUCGGCAGGUGUCUUGAUAUUAUCAUCUGCUGAGGGUGGAGCUGAGGGUGGAAGGGGAGUGAGCUGACGCUCGGAAGGUGUCUUGAGAUUAUCAUCCGCUGAGGGUGGAAGCGGCCCCCGCAGACGCUCGGCAGGUGUCUUGAUAUUAUCAUCUGCC
rnacentral:lncRNA from 1 species